rnacentral:lncRNA from 1 species
CAAAUUUUUACCUUCUUUUUUAUUUCCAGCUCUAAUCUUCACUUUCCCUUUCUUUUCUUUCCCUCAAUUUCAUUUUUUGCACAUCCAACAUAUCAAUGAUCCCUCUCAUCUUCAUACCAUAUAAUCAAUGGUGAUAAAGAAUGAUCGUGACCUUUUCAUUUAUGGAUGUAGCCUGGAGGAGUUAAGUUAUUUUGACAAUUUUAUUUUAUUUUUCUUCUCUAUUUUUUUGAUUUGUUUUUCUUUUCAUCCUCAUUAUUAUUUUAUUUGUAUAUAAUGAUUAGCCUUUCGUACUUCCUCUAUUGUUAGUAAAAAUAUUCUAAUAUGAUUUUGUGAUUUAAUGUUGCUUUGUGAUAUGCCCACCAGAUGCUUGUUGAAAUUUCCAACCGACAAAAGCCUUUUUUUUCUUAACAAAGCUUGACAAGUGAGAAAGAUGGGUUUAAGAAUUUAUUGCUCUCAGAGUGUUUAAGGAGUUCAUUACUUGGUGUCUUUAGAAGGACCCUGGAAAGAGGUAGACCAAUAGGUCGCUGUUGUUCCAUCGUUAUAUCUUUCAAUAUGGUUCUCUGAUCAAUAAUGGUGGCUGGAGCGAUCAGGUGCAUCGGUCUAAAUUUCGAGUAUUUGUUAUAUCUUUCAAUAUGAUUCUAUUUUCAACUUAUUUGGUAUGAUCCAGUUUCAAACAUGGAUAUGUUGCCUACAUCAAUAUUAGUAUUCCAGUCAAUAUUUCAAAUAUGCCCAG